CUGGAUGCGAGUCCUUUAAGCCAAGUCUUUGUUUUAUUAUGUUUAAAGCACUUCAUUUAAACAGUUUUAUGGCAUAUUAUGCACUAAUAAUUUGUUUUAAAACACUUCACUUGUUUAAAUCUUCAGCGAGGUAUUUUUAAUAUACUUGUACAACGGAACGUAACUGUCAACGUUUUUGAGAAUGUCGGCAAGGCGGCGGGGGACAUUAUUAUUAAACACUUCACUUAAUUCACUUGCGAGGAUAAGUCUUUCAAAUGCAAACACUUGACAUUUAAAUAUAAGGUGCUCCACAUCUGCAAUACUACCAUUCUGGCAGUGAGGACAUGUACCAUCGGCUAUUAUUGAAAAUCUGGCUAAGUGCGCUGGUGCACGAUUGUGACCAAACCUUAAUCUGUUUAUGGUGGUUAUAAAACUUCGACUUCCCAUCUUCAUCUUCUCAUACCAAGGUUUUCCAGGGCCUCAAAUACUGCAUAAGCUUCAGCUGUGAAUAUGGAACAUAAAUCGUGCAACCUAAAGCUCUGUACAAAUUUAGUUUGCGGAUCAUACACUGCACUUCGCACAUGAGAUUCAGUUUUACUACCAUCUGUGUAAAGUUUGUAAUAAUUAGGAAUUAGCGAUAAGAAAUUUAGGAAGUCAGUAUUAUUAUUGAUAGACUUUGUACAUACGGUUAUGUUUAUAACUUUACUAUUAAAAUUAUCUUCAUAA